GAUGAACGCUAGCGGCAGGCCUAAUACAUGCAAGUCGAGGGGUAGAGGAGAGCUUGCUUUCCUUGAGACCGGCGCACGGGUGCGUAACGCGUAUGCAACCUACCUUUAUCAGGGGGAUAGCCCGAAGAAAUUCGGAUUAACACCGCAUAAAAUCACAGUACAGCAUUGUACAAUGAUCAAAUAUUUAUAGGAUAAAGAUGGGCAUGCGUGUCAUUAGCUAGUUGGCGGGGUAACGGCCCACCAAGGCGACGAUGACUAGGGGAUCUGAGAGGAUGACCCCCCACACUGGUACUGAGACACGGACCAGACUCCUACGGGAGGCAGCAGUAAGGAAUAUUGGUCAAUGGAGGCAACUCUGAACCAGCCAUGCCGCGUGCAGGAAGACUGCCCUAUGGGUUGUAAACUGCUUUUAUCCGGGAAUAAACCUGCUUACGUGUAAGUAGCUGAAUGUACCGGAAGAAUAAGGAUCGGCUAACUCCGUGCCAGCAGCCGCGGUAAUACGGAGGAUCCAAGCGUUAUCCGGAUUUAUUGGGUUUAAAGGGUGCGUAGGCGGCCUGUUAAGUCAGGGGUGAAAGACGGUGGCUCAACCAUCGCAGUGCCCUUGAUACUGACGGGCUUGAAUGGACUAGAGGUAGGCGGAAUGAGACAAGUAGCGGUGAAAUGCAUAGAUAUGUCUCAGAACACCGAUUGCGAAGGCAGCUUACUAUGGUCUUAUUGACGCUGAGGCACGAAAGCGUGGGGAUCAAACAGGAUUAGAUACCCUGGUAGUCCACGCCCUAAACGAUGAACACUCGCUGUUGGCGAUACACAGUCAGCGGCUAAGCGAAAGCGUUAAGUGUUCCACCUGGGGAGUACGCCCGCAAGGGUGAAACUCAAAGGAAUUGACGGGGGCCCGCACAAGCGGAGGAGCAUGUGGUUUAAUUCGAUGAUACGCGAGGAACCUUACCCGGGCUUGAAAGUUAGUGAAUUAUCCAGAGAUGGAUAAGUGAGCAAUCACACGAAACUAGGUGCUGCAUGGCUGUCGUCAGCUCGUGCCGUGAGGUGUUGGGUUAAGUCCCGCAACGAGCGCAACCCCUAUGUUUAGUUGCCAGCAUGUAAUG
rnacentral:rRNA from 1 species